UUAAGUUUCUGUAGAUUUAAACCAGAAUAAGAUCAGAUGACUACUUUUAAAAUAUGUUUAAAAAAAAACAAAAAACUGUCAUUGGUUGACAUGUGAUCCACUGUUUCAGGGAGUUUGUGUUGGUGUUUCUACACAUUGGCUGUGACAUAAGUUGAGUUUGUAACAAGUGAGAAAAUGGUUCAAAACACUGGUCGUUUCACUUUGACGUGCCCAGUCAGUACAAACUCUAAUCAAUGCUGUUCCCUUUCAGGUUCAUUUGCUGCUGGUGUGCCUGCAACCAAUUGCCUUCCAGGAAUAACUUGAGUGUGAGGUUUUUGGGCAGGCAGCAGAAAAAGAUCUCUUCAAACCGACUACAGGAUGAAGACUGUGUCGGUGUCGGAGCCAUCACGAUGUCAGCACUGAGAUUAUAUAUGGAGGUGAAGCGGAUUUCAGCACUGGAGCUGUCCGGGGUCUGACACUGGUGCUGCUGAUGAUGCUGAGCUACAACUCCGAGCGCGCGUAUGCGUGCGCGCGCGCGCAAACGCCUCUCUCUCUCUCUUUCUCGCUCCCUCUCGCUCUCCCUCCCUCCCUAUCUCUCCUCUUCUUCACUCCCUUCCUCGUCCCUCUCCUCCACACGCACAAAACGCUCUGUCAUGGCGUCUUCCAACCAUGUUACCCCCACCAACUGUAGCUGGUGGCCCAUCUCAGCCCUGGAUGAGGACGGUAAAAUCACAGACGGGGAGGACUGCGAGGAGCCGUCGUCAGAGCCCAAACCCUUCAGCAAAGACAGGCUGGUUCUGUACCACUGGACGCAGUCGUUCACCUCCCAGAAGGUAAUAAAAACACACACACACACUGAGCAUAGCGUGAAAA